rnacentral:rRNA from 1 species
UACGAAGGGGGCUAGCGUUGCUCGGAAUCACUGGGCGUAAAGCGCACGUAGGCGGAUCGUUAAGUCAGGGGUGAAAUCCUGGAGCUCAACUCCAGAACUGCCUUUGAUACUGGCGAUCUUGAGUAUGGGAGAGGUGAGUGGAACUGCGAGUGUAGAGGUGAAAUUCGUAGAUAUUCGCAAGAACACCAGUGGCGAAGGCGGCUCACUGGCCCAUUACUGACGCUGAGGCACGAAAGCGUGGGGAGCAAACAGG